UACAGAGGGUGCGAGCGUUGUCCGGAAUCACUGGGCGUAAAGGGCGCGUAGGCGGUUUGGCAAGUCUAUGGUGAAAGCUCGUCGCUCAACGACGAGUCGGCCACGGAUACUGCUGAACUGGAGCACUGUAGAGGCAGGUGGAAAUUCCGGGGUGUAGCGGGUGGAAUGCGUAGAGAUCCCGGGAAAGAAACACCCGGGUGGGCGAAAGGGCGGGCCCUGCUGGGCAGUAGCUGACGCUGAGGCGCGACAGCGUGGGGAGCAAACAGG
rnacentral:rRNA from 1 species